UAUACCAGCAAAGAGAUGGGCUGAGCACAGAGAUCUUAGUUGUAAUAAGACUUGUUGAAGUAAAGUGUCUGUGCUGGCUGCUGCUAUUUUUCCCUGGUCGCCAAGAGAUACCUGCCUGUUAACAUUGUAUUGACGAGUAUACGAAUACAACACCGAAGUAUUACGCAAAUACAUCGCUAUUCAUCCAUCCAAGUCCAGUCAAGCCAGAACUCCGGACCUGACAAACUCAGUUGAUUGAUUUACGAUAUCGAUUUAGUUAAUUAGCGAAUUGGCUUAUUAACGUUUUAUUUUACCUGACAAUUAAGUUUGAUAAUUAAUAAAUAGUCGUGUGGUUUGUAUUGGCUAUUUCCUGACGCACUUUUGUAGCGACUUUUCCAAACAUUCUUUUUACACAAUGAUAAAUUUUUGGAAGGCAAGUUGACGAAGUUGGUGAAUUAAAGCUUUUACACGUUCUGGAGCGUAGGUAAGCAUAAGUUGAUUUUGUGGGUAGGUAUAGAGUAAAAUCUUUGGCUUCAUGAAUAUCCAUUCAGUUGGUCAAAAAAAAUUUUUUGCUGGAGAAGGCCAGAUUGCAAAAUUUAUUUGAGCCCUAAAAUUUUAAUUUUCUUCAAAAUUUGAAAUUCGAAUACCUAUUUUUGAAGCCAAAGGGUUAAUCUAUACGUCAAGCUAUCAACAUAUCCACGAAAUCAACUUUCAUUGGCUCUAGAACACAUUAUGAAGCCUUAAUUCGCCAACUUGCCUCCCCCUCCUCUACACUGAGAGAACCAGAUGAGUCAAAAAAUUUCAAAAAAUGAGUUAAGCAUCGAAUUAAAUUUACUCUGAGAAAUGCGAAAAUGUACUCAAUUUAGAUUUUGAUAAAAUUUAAUUUUUUGUAAUAAAAGAUGUAAGAAGUCA